GACGAACGCUGGCGGCGUGCUUAACACAUGCAAGUCGAACGAUGAAGCCGGAGCUUGCUCCGGUGGAUUAGUGGCGAACGGGGGAGUAACACGUGAGCAAUCUGCCCUUGACUAUGGGAGAAAUGCGGGAAACUGUAGCUAAUACCGGAUACGACACCUUGGGGCAUCCCAGGGUGUGGAAAGAAUUUCGGUCAAGGAUGAGCUCGCGGCCUAUCAGCUAGUUGGUGAGGUAAUGGCUCACCAAGGCGACGACGGGUAGCCGGCCUGAGAGGGUGACCGGCCACACUGGAACUGAGACACGGUCCAGACUCCUACGGGAGGCAGCAGUGGGGAAUAUUGCACAAUGGGCGAAAGCCUGAUGCAGCAACGCCGCGUGAGGGAUGAAGGCCUUCGGGUUGUAAACCUCUUUUAGCAGGGAAGAAGCGAAAGUGACGGUACCUGCAGAAAAAGCACCGGCUAACUACGUGCCAGCAGCCGCCGUAA
rnacentral:rRNA from 1 species